rnacentral:tRNA from 1 species
GUUCUCGUAGCUCAGCUGGAAGAGCAACCCCCUCCUAAGGGGUAGGUCGGAGGUUCAAAUCCUCUCGGGAACGCCA